UCUAAUAUGGCAGAUUAGUGCCAUGGAUUUAAGCCCCAUUUAUAAAGGAAUUUCUUUUUGUUAGAA
rnacentral:tRNA from 1 species